UUAGUUGGUACACCAAUUUGGAACACUGUACGUGAAUUAUAUCAAUUUGGUUCAUAGUACAUGAAAUAAAAAUAUCUAGCAUAAUAUCUAUGGCUAAAAUCACCUAAUUAAAUAAUUUUUUUCAGAAUUUUAGAUUUUUUUAUGAUGUGUACAUUUCACAAGAUUAAUAUUAAUAAAAGAAAAUUCCAAAACCUUUUUUUUAGUAUACUAUUAAAUUUUUU
rnacentral:misc_RNA from 1 species